AUUGAACGCUGGCGGCAUGCCUUACACAUGCAAGUCGAACGGCAGCACGGGAGCAAUCCUGGUGGCGAGUGGCGAACGGGUGAGUAAAGUAUCGGAACGUGCCCAGUCGUGGGGGAUAACGUAGCGAAAGUUACGCUAAUACCGCAUACGAUCUAUGGAUGAAAGCGGGGGAUAGCAAGACCUCGCGCGAUUGGAGCGGCCGAUAUCAGAUUAGGUAGUCGGGGGGGCAACGGCUCUACAAGCCGUCGAUCUGUAGCUGGUCGGAGAGGACGACCAGCCACACUGGGACUGAGACACGGCCCAGACUCCUACGGGAGGCAGCAGUGGGGAAUUUUGGACAAUGGGCGCAAGCCUGAUCCAGCCAUGCCGCGUGCAGGAUGAAGGCCUUCGGGUUGUAAACUGCUUUUGUACGGAACGAAAAGGUUUGACUUAAUACGUUGGACUCAUGACGGUACCGUAAGAAUAAGCACCGGCUAACUACGUGCCAGCAGCCGCAGUAA
rnacentral:rRNA from 1 species